rnacentral:ncRNA from 1 species
UAAAAGUAAUUUUUGGCUUGUUAGAUUUUAUAAAACAACUUGAUAUUUAUAUAUACAAAUUGAAUCUAUGCAAUGAGUAAUGACAUGAAUAGUUUAAGUUAUGAUUAAUAAAUGUGCCAGCUAUCGCGGUUAUACAUUAAUAUUAUAUCUUGAUUUCAGGUUUUGUUUAUAAGUAAAAAAUCCGAAGGUUAGAAAUGAAAUAUUGUGAAAUGUUUUCAGUUUCGGUAGUUUUCGUGAUAAUAUUAUAAACAUGAAGUUAGAUUAAAGACCAAGAUUAGAUACCUUGUUAUUCUAAAUUUUAUAAAUUAAGAAGUAUAAUAAUAGUUAAACUUAAUUGAAAUGGCGGUAAAAUAUUUUAUUAGAGGAGAUUGUUCCAUAAUCGAUAACCCUCGUUAUUAACUUUUUUUUUAUUAUGUAUAUCGUCGUUGAAAUAUAAUUUGAGAUUAAAUUGAGAUAAUUUUGGAUUUUGGUCAACAGAUCUAGAUACAAAUAAUAUGAAAGUAGGAAAUGGUCUACAAUUAAAAAGACAUUCAUUAAAAUAUUUGUUCAAAUAUUUUGAAAAAGUAUUUUAGAGAAUCUAAGAGUAAUUUUAUCUAGUAUAAAAAAUUUUUAUAAUAAUAUGAUUUAUAUUAGUUUUAUGCACAUAUUGCCCGUCACCCUCAUUAGAGGUAAGUCGUAACAAAGUAGAUUAUUUGGAAGAAUAAUCUGGU